AGUGAACGCUGGCGGUAGGCCUAACACAUGCAAGUCGAACGGCAGCACAGUAAGAGCUUGCUCUUACGGGUGGCGAGUGGCGGACGGGUGAGGAAUACAUCGGAAUCUACUUUUUCGUGGGGGAUAACGUAGGGAAACUUACGCUAAUACCGCAUACGACCUACGGGUGAAAGCAGGGGAUCUUCGGACCUUGCGCGAUUGAAUGAGCCGAUGUCGGAUUAGCUAGUUGGCGGGGUAAAGGCCCACCAAGGCGACGCUCCGUAGCUGGUCUGAGAGGAUGGACAGGCAAACUUGAAACGAGACAACGUCCAGACUCCUAAGGGAGGCCGCAGUUGGGAAUUAUUGGCCAUGGGCGGAAGCCUUAUGCCGCCCAUACGGGUGGGUGAAGAAGGGCUUCCGGUUGGAAAACCCUUUUUGUUGGGAAGAAAAAGCGGCAGUUUAAAACCCCGCGUUUUGACGGUAACCAAAAAAAAAGGCACCGCUAAAUUUGUG
rnacentral:rRNA from 1 species